rnacentral:lncRNA from 1 species
UCCACUUCAGGUAGGGAGCUUGUUACAGUGACGUCUUUAGACCAUGGGGUAGGUCAUGGGGGGACGUCCGAGGUGGAUAGGUAUGCCAUGGCCAAGGAGGCUGUGGAUUAUACCCAGGAGUGGGGGGCUUCUAGAGUGCCCUCAAACAUGACGGGGAAGAGGUUGGGGGAACUUAGGGAAAGGUACAGUGUGCCUCAUAACAUAGAGAUGUUAGUCCCCGAACCGAACGAG